rnacentral:rRNA from 1 species
AGAGUUUGAUCCUGGCUCAGGAUGAACGCUAGCUACAGGCUUAACACAUGCAAGUCGAGGGGCAGCAUUAUCGAAGCUUGCUUUGAUAGAUGGCGACCGGCGCACGGGUGCGUAACACGUAUCCAAUCUACCCAUGGCUCAGGGAUAGCCUUUCGAAAGAAAGAUUAAUACCUGAUGGUUUCAUGAGUCCGCAUGGACUUAUGAAUAAAGAUUUAUCGGCGAUGGAUGAGGAUGCGUCCGAUUAGCUUGUUGGCGGGGUAACGGCCCACCAAGGCGAUGAUCGGUAGGGGCUCUGAGAGGAGGAUCCCCCACAUUGGAACUGAGACACGGUCCAAACUCCUACGGGAGGCAGCAGUGAGGAAUAUUGGUCAAUGGGCGAGAGCCUGAACCAGCCAAGUAGCGUGAGGGAUGACUGCCCUAUGGGUUGUAAACCUCUUUUGUUUGGGAAUAAAGUGAGCCACGUGUGGCUUUUUGUAUGUACCUUACGAAUAAGCAUCGGCUAAUUCCGUGCCAGCAGCCGCGGUAAUACGGAAGAUGCGAGCGUUAUCCGGAUUUAUUGGGUUUAAAGGGAGCGUAGGCGGGUCUUUAAGCCAGCGGUCAAUGUCAUGGCCCAACCUUGGCAUGCCGUUGGAACUGUUGGCCUUGAAUACACACAAGGAAGGUGGAAUUCGUCGUGUAGCGGUGAAAUGCUUAGAUAUGACGAAGAACUCCGAUGCCGAAGGCAGCCUUCUGGGGU